rnacentral:rRNA from 1 species
UAACGCGAAGAACCUUACCAGGUCUUGACAUCUUCUGCUAACCUAAGAGAUUAGGCGUUCCCUUCGGGGACGGAAUGACAGGUGGUGCAUGGUUGUCGUCAGUUCGUGUCGUGAGAUGUUGGGUUAAGUCCCGCAACGAGCGCAACCCUUAUUGUCAGUUGCCAGCAUUUAGUUGGGCACUCUGGCGAGACUGCCGGUGACAAACCGGAGGAAGGUGGGGAUGACGUCAAAUCAUCAUGCCCCUUAUGGCCUGGGCUACACACGUGCUACAAUGGACGGUACAACGAGUCGCGAAACCGCGAGGUCAAGCUAAUCUCUUAAAGCCGUUCUCAGUUCGGAUUGUAGGCUGCAACUCGCCUACAUGAAGUUGGAAUCGCUAGUAAUCGUGGAUCAGC